GGUUGUGGCUCAGAGGUAGAGUGCUCCCCUAGCACAUGCAAGUACCUGGGUUCGAUCCUCAGCACCA
rnacentral:tRNA from 1 species